rnacentral:rRNA from 1 species
GACGAACGCUGGCGGCGUGCUUAACACAUGCAAGUCGAACGGUAAGGCCCUUAGGGGUACACGAGUGGCGAACGGGUGAGUAACACGUGGGUGAUCUGCCCUGCACUUCGGGAUAAGCCUGGGAAACUGGGUCUAAUACCGGAUAGGACCACUGCCUGCAUGGGUGGUGGUGGAAAGCUUUUGCGGUGUGGGAUGGGCCGCGGCCUUAUCGCCUGUUGGGGGGGUGAUGGCCUACCGAGGCGACGACGGGUAGCCGGCCUGAGAGGGUGACCGGCCACACUGGGACGGAGAGACGGCCAAGACUCCUACGGGAGGCAGCAGUGGGGAAUAUGGCACAAUGGGCGCAAGCCUGAUGCAGCGACGCCGCGUGAGGGAUGACGGCCUUCGGGUUGUAAACCUCUUUCAGCAUCGACGAAGCGAAAGUGACGGUAGGUGCAGAAGAAGGACCGGCCAACUACGUGCCAGCCGCCGCGGUAA